rnacentral:lncRNA from 1 species
CAUGUACGUUUACACACAGAGCAAUGCUCCUUAGCAAGGCAAUAAGGGGCGUUGUAUUUUUGUGUGUGUGCAUGUUUAGCAUUCAAAACGGUGGCCAUUCCUUGUGUGUGUUUGCACGUGUUCAUGCCCAUGAGAACUAUUUAUAGCAACCUUUAUGGUAGCUAAAUCCAUACACGUGGAAGGCAGGAGGGCCUGGCGUGCUCUGCUCCAUGGGGUCACGAAGAGUCGGACACGACUUGAACGACUAAACAACAACCACCAAAAUCCAUACAGGUACAAAUUAAGAAGAAAACCGCUCCUGAGGGCGCCUACCGAAGGCAGUUACCUCCGUGUCAAUAUAUAACCUUCCCCACGUUCAGAAAUAUACCGUCAAUAAGGCUUGCGAGAGGGAAAGUUUGCUGAGGAGGGGGCUUUUUUUUUUACCUCAGGCGAGGAGGGGGCUUUUUUUUUUACCUCAGGCGCACGAGACAGAAGCCACCCGAGGCGCGCGCGCACUCGCGAAACACCUGUUUUUCUCCCGCCCGCCGGCCCUCGGGCCCCGCCCCUUCGUUACCAGAAGCCGCAGAUCUUUCCAUCACAGCAGCUUGGAGAUGGAGACCUUAGUUACCAGAAGCCUCAGAGAGGCCUUAGCAACGCCGCGGGCCAACGAGCGAGGCGGCCACGAGAUGGCGACGCCUCCCCGAGCGACGCCGGGGCGGUGGAAGGGAAAAAAAGAGAUCCCGCUCUCAAGUCUCGCGAGAGGCAGCGGGACUGUUCGCCGGGCUUUGGCGCCAGGCGCGAAAGAGAGGCUGCGCGGAGGUGCCACUGGGUGGUCGCCAUGGAGGCUCCCGCCGAGCGGACGGUGGCCGGGAGGGCCGCGAACUUGCCUUGGGUUGAAAAAUACCGACCUCAGACACUGAAUGAUUUGAUUUCCCACCAGGACAUUCUGAGUACCAGUAAGUAUUUGAAUAUUUGCAUCAUUGUUCUUGCUUGAUCAUCUCAGUGUUCUUGACUGAUCUUCUCAUCUUCUCAAAGCUUUGUGCACACACUGGCCCCUCUCAGUUUCCCACCAGGACAUUCUGAGUACCAGUAAGUAUUUGAAUAUUUGCAUCAUUGUUCUUGCUUGAUCAUCUCAGUGUUCUUGACUGAUCUUCUCAAAUCUUUGUGUACACACUGGCCCAUCUCAGUUGGAGGUAUUUGAUAAUGAUCCUCCCCACAAAUGAUAAAAGAGACAUCCAAGACUUUGCAAACUUAACCAACAAAGGGCUGUGUGUGCAUGUCAUUGUAAUAAGGUGAGACAGGAAAUAAACAAGAAACAAAAGAAAAAGGAGAGGCA